GUAGUACUCCUUCCGUCUCAAAAUUCUUGUCUUAGAUGUAUCUAAUACUAAAACAUGACUUGAUACAUCCGUAUUUAGACAAAUUUAAGACAAGAAUUUUGGGACGGAGGGAGUACCAA
rfam:Triticum aestivum genome assembly, contig: Triticum_aestivum_CS42_TGACv1_scaffold_457073_5DS